rnacentral:rRNA from 1 species
AUUGAACGCUGGCGGCAUGCCUUACACAUGCAAAGUCGAACGGCAGCACGGGAGCAAUCCUGGUGGCGAGUGGCGAACGGGUGAGUAAUAUAUCGGAACGUGCCCAGUCGUGGGGAUAACGUAGCGAAAGCUACGCUAAUACCGCAUACGAUCUAUGGAUGAAAGCGGGGGAUCGCAAGACCUCGCGCGAUUGGAGCGGCCGAUAUCAGAUUAGGUAGUUGGUGAGGUAAAGGCUCACCAAGCCGACGAUCUGUAGCUGGUCUGAGAGGACGACCAGCCACACUGGGACUGAGACACGGCCCAGACUCCUACGGGAGGCAGCC